rnacentral:lncRNA from 12 species
CCGGUCAAUAAAUACUACUGAGAUGAUAAUAUAAUGUGAUUGGGUUCUUGCCUCAUACCAUGCAGAUAAUUCAGUUACAGAGCUAUAAUUUAUUAGAGGCCAAGAAAGAUAUAGACCCAUGGCUGAUGGUCAGGAUAUAUCUAUUAACUUGGAUUUGUAGAAGAUAACCCAGGGGAUGUUUGGUCAAGGGUCUUAUCACCCUUGCAACCCAGGGCAAUUUACACAUUUAAU